AUUGAACGCUGGCGGCAUGCCUUACACAUGCAAGUCGAACGGCAGCAUGGAAGAGCUUGCUCUUCUGAUGGCGAGUGGCGAACGGGUGAGUAAAGCAUCGGAACGUACCGUGUAGUGGGGGAUAACGUAGCGAAAGUUACGCUAAUACCGCAUACGCACUGAGGUGGAAAGCAGGGGAUCGCAAGACCUUGCGCUAUACGAGCGGCCGAUGUCAGAUUAGCUAGUUGGUAGGGUAAAGGCCUACCAAGGCGACGAUCUGUAGCGGGUCUGAGAGGAUGAUCCGCCACACUGGGACGGAGACACGGCCCAGACUCCUACGGGAGGCAGCAGUGGGAAAUUUUGGACAAUGGGGGAAACCCUGAUCCAGCCAUGCCGCGUGAGUGAAGAAGGCCUUCGGGUUGUAAAGCUCUUUCGGCUGGGAAGAAAUCGCACAGGCUAAUACUCUGUGUGGAUGACGGUACCAGCAUAAGAAGCACCGGCUAACUACGUGCCAGCCGCCGCCGUAA
rnacentral:rRNA from 1 species